CGCGGCGUAGCUCAGCUGGAAAGAGCACCCUGUUGGCGACGUGGGAGAGCGAUGGCCUCCUCUUCUACGGGCAGGGAGGGCGCGGGUUCAAGUCCCGCCGCCGCGC
rnacentral:tRNA from 1 species